rnacentral:snRNA from 1 species
GUGCUUGCUUCAGCCCACAUAUACUAUUAAAUUAGAAUGAUAAAGAGAAAGACUAGUAUGGUCCCUGCACAAGGAUAACAACACAAAUUCAUGAAGCAUUCCAUAUUAAA